UCCUAGAAAAGGUGUCAUGAAGAACAAACACUAAUGUGCUAUCACUUAGUGCAGUUGCAUUUCCUUUGGAUUCUUAGUUCUUCCUCUUCCUGUUCCAGGACCACAUCCAGGAUCCCAAAUGACAUUCAAUUCCUGUCCCUAUAGACUUCUCUCUGUGGUGAACAGUUUCUAAGACCUUCCUUGUUCUGAUGACCUUAAUAAGAUUGAGAAGGGCCUUUCAGAUGGACAUGAUUCCCUUAUUUUCACAUGGUGGUGAGGCUUAAAUUCUGUGCAUCACAAGAUCUAGAUAGGAGCUCCCUAAAUUGCCCAGUCUGACCUUGAACUUGGAAUACAUCUGCCUCAGCUUCCUGAGUCACUGAGUUUUCCACCAAGUACCACCAUGACCAGCUAGAAACAUUUGAGUGCUCUACAUUAUGCCUGUGCCUUUGGCAAAGCAGAAAUGGUGGAUUUUCUAAUGAAGAAGAAUUGUAAGAUCAACCUCAGUGAUCUUGAUGGCAAUACACCAUUGAAGAAGGUAG